GCCCUCAAUCGCUCCCACAGAAUUAGGAGAGUUAGUUACAUUUGAACCCAUCCACUCGGGGUGGACAGCUGUAGCACAUGCCCAAAAAUUGAUCAGUUGAGGCUAUGGAAGGCUGGCCGAGGCAAAUAGUCCGUGCAAUAGAUCAGAGGUAAAUAGCUCAACUCUAUGUACCUCAGUUCUACACUUGGAUAGGUGAUUGC
rnacentral:lncRNA from 1 species